GUGCCAGCAGCCGCGGUAAUACGGGGGAUGCAAGUGUUAUCCGGAAUAAUUGGGCGUAAAGCGUCUGUAGGUGGUUGACCAAGUCUGUUGUUAAAAAUCAGGGCUUAACCCUGAUCCGGCAACAGAAACUAGUAAACUUGAGUACGGUAGGGGCAGAGGGAAUUCUCGGUGUAGUGGUGAAAUACGUAGAUAUCGAGAAGAACACCAAUAGCGAAAGCACUCUGCUGGGCCGAAACUGACAUUGAGAGACGAAAGCUAGGGGAGCAAAAGGGAUUAGAUACCCCUGUAGUCCUAGCCGUAAACGAUGGAUACUAAGUGCUGUGCGACUCAAAACGUCCAGUGCUGUAGCUAACGCGUGAAGUAUCCCGCCUGGGGAGUAUGCUCGCAAGAGUGAAACUC
rnacentral:rRNA from 16 species